rnacentral:rRNA from 1 species
GAGUUUGAUCUUGGCUCAGAUUGAACGCUGGCGGCAGGCCUAACACAUGCAAGUCGAGCGGAUGAAGGGAGCUUGCUCCUGGAUUCAGCGGCGGACGGGUGAGUAGUGCCUAGGAAUCUGCCUGGUAGUGGGGGAUAACGUCCGGAAACGGGCGCUAAUACCGCAUACGUCCUGAGGGAGAAAGUGGGGGAUCUUCGGACCUCACGCUAUCAGAUGAGCCUAGGUCGGAUUAGCUAGUUGGUGGGGUAAAGGCCUACCAAGGCGACGAUCCGUAACUGGUCUGAGAGGAUGAUCAGUCACGCUGGAACUGAGACACGGUCCAGACUCCUACGGGAGGCAGCAGUGGGGAAUAUUGGACAAUGGGCGAAAGCCUGAUCCAGCCAUGCCGCGUGUGUGAAGAAGGUCUUCGGAUUGUAAAGCACUUUAAGUUGGGAGGAAGGGCAGUAGUUAAUACCUUGCUGUUUUGACGUUACCAACAGAAUAAGCACCGGCUAACUUCGUGCCAGCCGCCGCGGUAACACCG